CCUUGUAAAGACGGCAGGGCAGAGGCUCAGAGAUGGCCAGUGACCUGCCCAGGGGCACACAGCAGGACCACAGGGAGGGACACCAGCUGAGGUUGGGACCCAGGUGUUAAGCACACUUCUGUGAGUCCCACUGGGUUCAAACCCUGGCUCUGCCCCUCAUUGCUGUGUGCCCUGAGACAGGUGACACCUCUCUGGAUCUCAUAAUUCUCAGGGUAAACUGGGGAUGACAGUAAUCCCUCUUCUUAGGAAGAUGUCACUGUUUUCAGCGCAUUCCUGGCACAUAUCCCAGGAGAGCAGGACCUUGCUUGUCUUGGCCACUCGGGUCCUUGGUCUGGCACAGGGCCUGAUAGGAAUGUGUUGACAGAAAGAAUAAAAACGCCGAGUCGAGUGGGACUGCGGACUGGUACAGCCACGCUGGACGACGGUUUGCAGCUUUAUUCAUCAUCACCAAAAACUGGAAACAACCCAAACGUCCCUCAGCUGGUGACGAGAUAAACACAGUGGCACAUCCAUGCAGUGACAGAAGGAGCCCAAAGAGAUGCGCACGCAACGUGGGCGAGUCUCAAAGGCAUGUUGCCCGGGAAAGGAGCCUUGCUUGAAAGGCUACACGCAGCCUGAUGCCAUUUAUGUGACAUCGAGAUGAUGCAGAACUAUGGGGACAGGGCACAGACCGGCGGUUGGCGGGAGCGGGGUGUGAGGGACUGCUGUAAGGGGAUAAGGCUCUGGCAGGUGCAACUCUUCUGUAUUUUGACUGGGGUGGGGGUUACACAACUGUGUGUGUUUUUCAAAACAUAGAACUAUACGUUUAUUUUUACUGUUACUGUGUGCAAGAAACAAGUAACAAUGAAAAAAAAGUUGUAAACUUUCAGAAUCACGGAGCAGAGCGACUGGGUCCCACCAGCCCUCUGGGCAGAGACGAGGGCAGGUGAGAAGUCCUGCGGCCGAGCUUUGACCUCCCCAAACCGGGAAAUGAGGUGGGGCCUGUCCCCCGCCUCCUAGAGCAGGGCCACUUCCACAGCCAUCGGCCCGGCAGAGACUGUUCUGGUCCAUGUGACGAUGGGGCGGGCAGGGCCGGGACUGCAGAGGGGCGGCACCGAUAGUCUGGGGGCUCCGCGGCAGCCUCUGAAGGCUUCCAUCCACUUCUGGCGCUGCGGAGGCCAGGUGUUGCCCGUGGGAGGUCAUCGUGUUGUACUCUCCGCAUUUUUCACGUUUGAACUAUUUCCUUAAUAAACAUGAUCAAUAAUACAGUAAUUUAAAAACAAGAACACAGUGAUUC